rnacentral:rRNA from 1 species
GACGAACGCUGGCGGCGUGCUUAACACAUGCAAGUCGAACGGAAAGGCCCUGCUUGCAGGGUACUCGAGUGGCGAACGGGUGAGUAACACGUGGGUGAUCUGCCCUGCACUUCGGGAUAAGCCUGGGAAACUGGGUCUAAUACCGGAUAGGAGCCAUUUUUAGUGUGAUGGUUGGAAAGUUUUUUCGGUGUAGGAUGAGCUCGCGGCCUAUCAGCUUGUUGGUGGGGUAAUGGCCUACCAAGGCGGCGACGGGUAGCCGGCCUGAGAGGGUGGACGGCCACAUUGGGACUGAGAUACGGCCCAGACUCCUACAGGAGGCAGCAGUGGGGAACAUUGCACAAUGGGCGCAAGCCUGAUGCAGCGACGCCGCGUGGGGGAUGACGGCCUUCGGGUUGUAAACUCCUUUCGCUAGGGACGAAGCUUUUUGUGACGGUACCUAGAUAAGAAGCACCGGCUAACUACGUG